UUUCUAGGACCGCCGUAAUGAUUAAUAGGGACAGUCGGGGGCAUCAGUAUUCAAUUGUCAGAGGUGAAAUUCUUGGAUUUAUUGAAGACUAACUACUGCGAAAGCAUUUGCCAAGGAUGUUUUCAUUAAUCAGGAACGAAAGUUAGGGGAUCGAAGACGAUCAGAUACCGUCGUAGUCUUAACCAUAAACUAUGCCGACUAGGGAUCGGACGGUGUUAUUUUUUGACCCGUUCGGCACCUUACGAGAAAUCAAAGUGCUUGGGCUCCAGGGGGAGUAUGGUCGCAAGGCUGAAACUUAAAGAAAUUGACGGAAGGGCACCACCAGGGGUGGAGCCUGCGGCUUAAUUUGACUCAACACGGGGAAACUCACCAGGUCCAGACACAAUGAGGAUUGACAGAUUGAGAGCUCUUUCUUGAUUUUGUGGGUGGUGGUGCAUGGCCGUUCUUAGUUGGUGGAGUGAUUUGUCUGCUUAAUUGCGAUAACGAACGAGACCUUAACCUGCUAAAUAGCCCGUAUUGCUUUGGCAGUACGCUGGCUU
rnacentral:ncRNA from 1 species